rnacentral:rRNA from 1 species
CGUAGGGUGCAAGCGUUAAUCGGAAUUACUGGGCGUAAAGCGUGCGCAGGCGGUGAUGUAAGACAGGUGUGAAAUCCCCGGGCUUAACCUGGGAACUGCAUUUGUGACUGCAUCGCUGGAGUGCGGCAGAGGGGGAUGGAAUUCCGCGUGUAGCAGUGAAAUGCGUAGAUAUGCGGAGGAACACCGAUGGCGAAGGCAAUCCCCUGGGCCUGCACUGACGCUCAUGCACGAAAGCGUGGGGAGCAAACAGGAUUAGAUACCCUGGUAGUCCACGCCCUAAACGAUGUCAACUGGUCGUUGGGUCUUCACUGACUCAGUAACGAAGCUAACGCGUGAAGUUGACCGCCUGGGGAGUACGGCCGCAAGGUUG